rnacentral:rRNA from 1 species
CACGUAGGGUGCGAGCGUUGUCCGGAAUUAUUGGGCGUAAAGAGCUCGUAGGUGGCGGGUCACGUCGGGUGUCGGAAAGCCCGGGGCUUAACCCCGGGUCUGCAUUCGAUACGGGUCUGCUGGGGUCCGGCAGGGGAGACUGGAAUUCCUGGUGUAGCGGUGAAAUGCGCAGAUAUCAGGAGGAACACCGGUGGCGAAGGCGGGUCUCUGGGCCGACGAUGCUGAGGAGCGAAAGCGUGGGGAGCGAACAGG